AUUGAACGCUGGCGGCAUGCCUUACACAUGCAAGUCGAACGGUAACGCGGGGCAACCUGGCGACGAGUGGCGAACGGGUGAGUAACGCAUCGGAACGUGCCCAAUAGUGGGGGAUAGCCCGGCGAAAGCCGGAUUAAUACCGCAUACGACCUACGGGUGAAAGCAGGGGAUCGCAAGACCUUGCGCUAAUGGAGCGGCCGAUGUCAGAUUAGGUUGUUGGUGGGGUAAAAGCCCACCAAGCCGACGAUCUGUAGCUGGUCUGAGAGGACGACCAGCCACACUGGGACUGAGACACGGCCCAGACUCCUACGGGAGGCAGCAGUGGGGAAUUUUGGACAAUGGGCGCAAGCCUGAUCCAGCCAUGCCGCGUGCGGGAUGAAGGCCUUCGGGUUGUAAACUGCUUUUGUCAGGGAAGAAAUCCUCUGGGCUAAUAACCUGGGGGGAUGACGGUACCUGAAGAAUAAGCACCGGCUAACUACGUGCCAGCCGCCGCCGUAAAAC
rnacentral:rRNA from 1 species